rnacentral:sRNA from 1 species
ACUGCUGCUAAUCUAUUGCCGCUGCUAAGCUAUCCCUCGCUGCUAAGCUAUCCCUCGCUGCUAAGCUAUCCCUCGCUGCUAAGCUAUCCCUCGCUGCUAAGCUAUCCCUCACUGGCUAUCCCUCACUGCUAAGCUAUCCCUCGCUGCUAAGCUAUCCCUCGCUGCUAAGCUAUCCCUCGCUGGCUAUCCCUCACUGCUAAGCUAUCGCCGCUGCCAACCUAUCUAUUGCUGCAAGCUAUCCCUCGCUGCUAAGCUAUCCCUCGCUGCUAAGCUAUCCCUCGCUGCUAAGCUAUCCCUCGCUGCUAAGCUAUCCCUCGCUGCUAAGCUAUCCCUCGCUGCUAAGCUAUCCCUCACUACUAAGCUAUCUAUCGCUGCUAAUCUAUCGCUGCCAACCUAUCUAUCGCUGCCAACCUAUCUAUCGCUGCCAAUUUAUCUACCACUGCCAAUCUAUCUAUCACUGCUAAUCUAUCGCUGCUGUCAAUCUAUCUAUCGCUGCUAAUCUAUCGCUGCUAAUCUAUCGCUGCCAACCUAUCUACCGCGGCGAAUCUAUCUAUUGCUGCCAACCAACCUACCUACCACUGCUAACCUAUCUAUCGCUGCCAAUCUAUCGCUGCCAACCUAUCGCUGCCAACCUAUCUACUGCAGUGAAUCUAUCUAUCACUAUCAUUACUAGUUCAAAAUAGAACUAGAGCAUAAAUACACUAAACUUCUUUUGAUAGAUAAUGAUUUUUGAUAACACUCAUAGCAUUAUAUCAUCUAUAUAGGGUAAAUCAUGGUCCCAUUUGGUCCCAUUUUAACAAAAUGGGACCAAAUGGAACCAGAAUCAGUAAUUUAUAAGAAGAACAUGAUCUGAGACUAGAUUUAUAAUGUAAACAGUGUAAAGUGAUCAAUUUAAUAAACACUAUAUGGAACC